rnacentral:sRNA from 1 species
GCUGGGCGCGGUGAUGCACAUCUGUAAUCCCUGCGGCUUGGGAGGCUGAGGCAGGAGGAUCACGAGUUCAAAGCCAGCCUCAGCAACUUAGUGAGGCACUAAGGAACUCGGUGAGACCCUGUCUCUA